UGGGGAAUAUUGCACAAUGGGGGGAACCCUGAUGCAGCGACGCCGCGUGGGUGAAGAAGUAUUUCGGUAUGUAAAGCCCUGUCAGCAGGGAAGAAGAAUGACGGUACCUGACCAAGAAGCACCGGCUAAAUACGUGCCAGCAGCCGCGGUAAUACGUAUGGUGCAAGCGUUAUCCGGAUUUACUGGGUGUAAAGGGAGCGCAGGCGGCGCGUUAAGUCUGAUGUGAAAACCCGCGGCUCAACUGCGGGACUGCAUUGGAAACUGGCGGGCUUGAGUGCCGGAGAGGCAAGCGGAAUUCCUAGUGUAGCGGUGAAAUGCGUAGAUAUUAGGAGGAACACCAGUGGCGAAGGCGGCUUGCUGGACGGUAACUGACGCUGAGGCUCGAAAGCGUGGGGAGCAAACAGG
rnacentral:rRNA from 1 species